CCUACGGGUGGCAGCAGUGAGGAAUAUUGGUCAAUGGGCGCGAGCCUGAACCAGCCAAGUAGCGUGAAGGAUGACGGCCCUACGGGUUGUAAACUGCUUUUAUGAAGGGAUAAAGUGAGGCACGUGUGCCGUUUUGUAGGUACUGUAUGAAUAAGGAUCGGCUAACUCCGUGCCAGCAGCCGCGGUAAUACGGAGGGUCCGGGCGUUAUCCGGAUUUAUUGGGUUUAAAGGGAGCGUAGGUGGCUUGUUAAGCUAGUUGUGAAAGUUUGUGGCUCAACCGUGGAACUGCAGCUGAUACUGGCUGCCUUGAGUGCAGUUGAGGUAGGCGGAAUUCGUGGUGUAGCGGUGAAAUGCUUAGAUAUCACGAAGAACUCCGAUUGCGAAGGCAGCCUACUACAGUGCCACUGACAUUGAUGCUCGAAAGCGCGGGUAUCAAACAGGAUUAGAUACCCCAGUAGUC
rnacentral:rRNA from 1 species